GAGUUUGAUUAUGGCUCAGAACGAACGCUGGCGGCGCGCCUAAUACAUGCAAGUCGAGCGAGAAGGUGUAGCAAUACACUUGUAAAGCGGCGAACGGGUGAGGAAUACAUGGGUAAUCUACCAUCGAGUGGGGAAUAACCAGCCGAAAGGUUGGCUAAUACCGCGUACGCCUCCGGAUCUUCGGGUUCGGAGGGAAAGCCACACUGUGAGUGCGGCGCUCUUUGAUGAGCUCAUGUCCUAUCAGCUUGUUGGUAGGGUAACGGCCUACCAAGGCUUUGACGGGUAGCUGGUCUGAGAGGACGAUCAGCCACACUGGCACUGCGACACGGGCCAGACUCCUACGGGAGGCAGCAGUAAGGAAUAUUGCGCAAUGGGCGAAAGCCUGACGCAGCGACGCCGCGUGGGGGAUGAAGGUCUUCGGAUUGUAAACCCCUUUCGGGAGGGAAGAUGGAGCGAGCAAUCGUUCGGACGGUACCUCCAGAAGCAGCCACGGCCAACUUCGUGCCAGCAGCCGCGGUAAUACGAAGGUGGCAAGCGUUGUUCGGAUUCACUGGGCGUACAGGGUGUGUAGGCGGUUUGGUAAGCCUUCUGUUAAAGCUUCGGGCCCAACCCGGAAAGCGCAGAGGGUACUGCCAGGCUAGAGGGUGGGAGAGGAGCGCGGAAUUCCCGGUGUAGCGGUGAAAUGCGUAGAGAUCGGGAGGAAGGCCGGUGGCGAAGGCGGCGCUCUGGAACAUACCUGACGCUGAGACACGAAAGCGUGGGGAGCAAACAGGAUUAGAUACCCUGGUAGUCCACGCCCUAAACUAUGGAUACUAAGUGUCGGCGGGUUACCGCCGGUGCCGCAGCUAACGCAUUAAGUAUCCCGCCUGGGAAGUACGGCCGCAAGGUUGAAACUCAAAUGAAUUGACGGGG
rnacentral:rRNA from 1 species